UGGGGAAUAUUGGACAAUGGGCGAAAGCCUGAUCCAGCCAUGCCGCGUGUGUGAAGAAGGUCUUCGGAUUGUAAAGCACUUUAAGUUGGGAGGAAGGGCAGUUACCUAAUACGUGAUUGUUUUGACGUUACCGACAGAAUAAGCACCGGCUAACUCUGUGCCAGCAGCCGCGGUAAUACAGAGGGUGCAAGCGUUAAUCGGAAUUACUGGGCGUAAAGCGCGCGUAGGUGGUUAGUUAAGUUGGAUGUGAAAUCCCCGGGCUCAACCUGGGAACUGCAUUUGUGACUGCAUAGCUGGAGUGCGGCAGAGGGGGAUGGAAUUCCGCGUGUAGCAGUGAAAUGCGUAGAUAUAGGAAGGAACACCAGUGGCGAAGGCGACCACCUGGACUGAUACUGACACUGAGGUGCGAAAGCGUGGGGAGCAAACA
rnacentral:rRNA from 1 species